UCAGGCGCUAUGAAUGCAUCCUGCUUCGCUAUUUUGUUAGUGUUUGCUUUCUUCGCCUGUCUUGUUUCCACAAAAGCUUCACCAAUUCCUGGCCCGUUUCCACGUUCCCGCCUUCCAACAGGACAAUCUCAGGGAGCGCAUCAACCACGGCAUCAGCGUAACAGAAGAAAUGCUAUUCCUGGACCCGACUCGGAGCCACAUCGACAACUGCGAGCAUUUCAAAACGGCCAUGGACAACGAGAAUCCGAAAACAGGAAUGCAACUCAGCAACAGAACAGCAAUAAUCGGCAUCGCAAUACAUGAUGGAGGAGUGAAAUAUAGAAAAUAAGUCACCUCGCCAAAAAGAAUCUGCACUGUGAUUUGGAGACUUCUGGAUGGUAUUUACCGUGUAGCGCGGGAUCCCGGCCGACGGAUAGAGGCGCUGUGGAGGAAGACCAUCUUCUGCGGCGUUAAUUGACUGGUGGAAAUAUAGAAAAACGCCUACAAGAAAACAAGAAAUGGUCUAUUGUCUCCGCUUCGCCACAGAAUGAGCAUAAUGGUGAGCGGACCAGAUCAGACCUGUGUAAGUAAAGUUUAACGUAGGGAUAUGGACACGUUGCUAUUGGGAUAGAGAUGACGCUGGCGCUGCGGUCACCUUAUCAAGAUCAUCACGCUUAUGAUUUUUCUUUUUUUCUUUUCUUGUCUUUAGAAAGUGAUCGUUAUUACUGUUCAAUAAAAUUCGAAAAAUAAAUGCGCAGGGACGAUGCAAUACGCCUAUGU